rnacentral:rRNA from 1 species
UACGUAGGUGGCAAGCGUUGUCCGGAAUUAUUGGGCGUAAAGCGCGCGCAGGCGGUCCUUUAAGUCUGAUGUGAAAGCCCACGGCUCAACCGUGGAGGGUCAUUGGAAACUGGGGGACUUGAGUGCAGAAGAGGAAAGCGGAAUUCCACGUGUAGCGGUGAAAUGCGUAGAUAUCGGAAGGAACACCAGUGGCGAAAGCGGCUUCCUGGUCCAGCAUCGACGUUCAGGCACGAAAGCGUGGGGAGCAAACAGG